CGCCGAAAUGUUGAUUUGUCAUCGGUCUCAACUUGUUGGCUUUUGCCUUUCGAAAACGUAGUAAAUUUUACGUAAGGAUCUUCGCUUAGAUCUAUUGGUAAAUGUAGUCAAAAAUUGGACUCAUCAAACGGAACAUGUAACUCGUAGCCGUGGCGGACGCAAGCUGCAUAUCAUACCCAAAAACAGACACCAUGAAAUUAUCAACCAGUUUAUAAGAAAAAAAUAGUCCUUUCAAUAAUAUUUCAGUUUUGUAUUAUCAUUUAAAAUUCUAAAGCUCUUAAAAUACACCGUCUACAUUUCCAUUUCA